rnacentral:lncRNA from 1 species
GAAUACUUAUGGAUACGCCUAAUUUUAUUCAUUACGAUAUGAGCGAAAUAUUCUUAAGGACAGUGUACUUGACACGCCUCAAACUAAACCUUAUUUUCAGUAAUACAAUAUUUUUCCAACAGUUUGCCCAUCUACAAUUUGGGGAGGAAUAUAUCAAAGUGUCAUUCCAUGAGUGGCUGGCCGAUUUUGCAAAUUCACCCAUGCCUUUGGUCCAUCCCUGUUAUUUGCAGGGUACACUGUUGCAUUGAGCUGCUCCAUAGGUUUCUCAGUAACAAUAUUAGCUACAGUGGGUUCAAAUUUAUCUAUGCUCGGCUCCUUUGCAUUUUCCCCCUCCUUUGAUAAAUCACUGGAGCUAAUACUCUGCUAAGGGUUAGCCAGAACUCCUGUUCCAUUGAUUUUUUCACCAGAUAUAGCUGUGUCAAGCUUACCCAAUUGCCCUGUUAGUAAUGGAGUACUAAGGGUCAAUUUCCUGCUCACUCCAGUGAUAAUACUACCUCACUUGAGAUCAUCUCCGGCGUCAUCGUCCCUUGCGUUUGAGAUAGAAUUACCUUCCCAGCUUGUGCGCUAGUGCUUACGGAGCUUCCGAAAGCAAUAAUAGGUAUUUUGUUUGGCCUUCCUCAUCUGUGACCUCGUCCUUUCCACAUGGCAUCCACACCAGCAUACAUUAGCUAACGUGUGCUGAGAGCAUUAUUUGUUCUAUAUCAUUAUCACUAAGUUUUUUGGCAAGUCUGAUUCUCAUGAAUAAAACCAAUAUGGCUCCGAUUUUAGGGAUUUCUACAAGAUACUAGCCCUAUACAUUAAAGAAAAGAGAAUAUCUUCAAGAUUCUGGCACAUCACCACCGAUUCACUCUCGAUUAGGGUUUGUGCACGAUUUGAGCUAAUCCAACUUUGAUUCGGUUUGCAUUCGACUGAUUUUUUUCCUUGUGUGUUUGAUUAGUACUUAAACUAUAUAAACCCCCUCUCCUCUUCCGCUCUAGUCAUACUUAAGUCACUCAUUUCUCCUGCUUUCAUUGAUACUUACUUUUCGGUUAAGUAUUUGGAUAUUUGAAGUUUGUAUUCUCUAGAUUUCAUCUACAACAGGUUGAAAGCCAAGGCUAUUGAAACUCUGGUUAGCUAAUCCUCCCCUAGCACAAGUAGUGCUCGGGGUUCUCUGAAACCCUCAUGAACACUGAAGUGCUAGGAAUCGAGGAUUUUGGGAUUCAAGAACUUCUUGAAGUUAUUCACUGGUCAAGGCUCUCACUCUAUUGGGUUACUUUGGGAUUAUUACUCUAAUUUCUGGUUUUAUUAUCUUUGAUAUUUCUCUUGCGUAACUGGUUAGUCCCCUUUACUAUGCAUUUUCUUUCCUAUGUGUUCAAUUGCAGAUUAUGAACAUGUUUCUUUUCAAUUUAGGCCUUGUGUGAAUUCUUAGCAAAAGCAUGCUUAUAGGAGAAUUUAUAUUAGUGUUUCAUGCUCUCGAAUUCAACUUUAGAGUUGUUAAAUGCUUACUCAUGUUGUGAAAAACUCCUCCGCAUAUGAAUAUGAUCAUAGCAUGCUUCAUUAGUUGGUUUCUUCCUAACUAGCUAGCUACUGUCAUGACUUAAAAAACUUAGUCUCUUGUGAACCAAAUUUGAUGCUUGGCUAUCCUUCAUCGUGGAAAAUAUUAUAUGCCUGUAUAUUUUCUUGUGCAUGCCUAUUACCUUGCCUUAUUGAAUUGACUCUUAUCUGGUUGGAAUAUGUUUUGAAACCUGAAGAAUAUGGUUAUAUGGCAUCUAGUUUCUGCUUACAUAUGUUUCACCUAGUUAACCUUAUUACUCAAUUAAAAUUUGAUAGAUACUGAUCAAUUUAAUAUUUCUAGUAUCGCUUGCCUAAAGAGGUCUCGAGUCAAAUUGCACUCUGGCUUGAUUGAUUGUGCCGUCUGCUGCUACUGUGGGAUCUCAGGGUUGAGUGCUGGGUCUUGAUCGCGUUGGGAAACAUCCUGAAGGCCCAAUACUUACCUGGGACUGUGAUUAUAAUUUUCUUCGCUGUGUAUUUGUUCAUUUUAGUUUACUUCAUUCUUGGGUCUGUAAUAAUGAUGUAACUAACUAUGGGGAUGUUAGUACAAUUUGGGGACAGGGAACAUUAUAUAUUUCAUCACUUAUUAGACAACGUGCUUAUAGGAUCAUACGAUGGGUAGAAAUCAUGUCUAUAGAAUGUUGUCCUUUUAUACUUUUCUCUCGCAUUCGCUCUUUGUUAUGCCUAGAAACCAUGCCUAUAGGAUUUAAUAUGCAA